rnacentral:rRNA from 1 species
CUACGGGAGGCAGCCGUGAGGAAUAUUGCACAAUGGGGGGAACCCUGAUGCAGCAACGCCGCGUGGAGGAUGACGCAUUUCGGUGUGUAAACUCCUUUUAUAUGUCAAGAAAAUGACGGUAGCAUAUGAAUAAGCACCGGCUAACUCCGUGCCAGCAGCCGCGGUAAUACGGAGGGUGCAAGCGUGUACUCGGAAUCACUGGGCGUAAAGGACGCGUAGGCGGGUUGGAAAGUCAGGUGUGAAAUCCUACAGCUUAACUGUAGAACUGCACUUGAAACUUCUAAUCUAGAGUAUGGGAGGGGGAGAUGGAAUUAGUGGUGUAGGGGUAAAAUCCGUAGAUAUCACUAGGAAUACCUAAAGCGAAGGCGAUCUCCUGGAACAUUACUGACGCUAAGGCGUGAAUGCGUGGGGAGCAAACAGGAUUAGAUACCCGAGUAGUC